rnacentral:misc_RNA from 1 species
GAUGAAGAACGUAGCGAAAUGCGAUACGUAAUGUGAAUUGCAGAAUUCAGUGAAUCAUCGAAUCUUUGAACGCAUAUUGCGCUCUCUGGUAUUCCAGAGAGCAUGCUUGUUUGAGUAUCAGUAAACACCUCAACUUCCAUAUCUUUUUUGAAAUGGGAGUUGGACUUGAGUGAUCCCAACGCUUUUCCUCACCGAAAAGUUGCGGGUUACUUGAAAUGCAGGUGCAGCUGGACUUUUCUCUGAGCUAUAAGCAUAUCUAUUUAGUCUGCCUAAAAAACAGAUUAUUACCUUUGCUGCAGCUAACAUAAAGGAGAUUAGUUCUUGUGCUGACUGAUGCAGGAUUCACAAAGACAGGCUUCGGCCGACUUUGUAAACUCGAUCUCAAAUCAAGUAAGACUACCCGCUGAACUUAAGCAUAUCAAUAAGCGGAGGA